rnacentral:rRNA from 1 species
GACGAACGCUGGCGGCGUGCUUAACACAUGCAAGUCGAACGGAAAGGCCCUGCUGUUGUGGGGUGCUCGAGUGGCGAGCGGGUGAGUAACACGUGAGUAACCUGCCCUUGACUUUGGGAUAACUUCAGGUAACUGGGGCUAAUACCGGAUAGGAGCUCCUGCUGCAUGGUGGGGGUUGGAAAUUUUCGGCGGUUGGGGAUGGACUCGCGGCUUAUCAGCUUGUUGGUGGGGUAGUGGCUUACCAAGGCUUUGACGGGUAGCCGGCCUGAGAGGGUGACCGGCCACAUUGGGACUGAGAGAGGGCCCAGACUCCUACGGGAGGCAGCAGGGGGGAAUAUUGCACAAUGGGCGGAAGCCUGAUGCAGCAACGCCGGGUGCGUGAUGAAGGCCUUCGGGUUGGAAACCGCUUUCGCCUGUGACGAAGCGUGAGUGACGGUAAUGGGUAAAGAAGCACCGGCUAACUACGUG